UACGUAGGGGGCAAGCGUUGUCCGGAAUCAUUGGGCGUAAAGAGCGUGUAGGCGGUUCGGCAAGUCUGCUGUGAAAGUCCAGGGCUCAACCCUGGAAUGCCGGUGGAAACUGUCGGGCUAGAGUCCGGAAGAGGCGAGUGGAAUUCCUGGUGUAGCGGUGAAAUGCGCAGAUAUCAGGAGGAACACCAAUGGCGAAGGCAGCUCGCUGGGACGGUACUGACGCUGAGACGCGAAAGCGUGGGGAGCGAACAGG
rnacentral:rRNA from 1 species